rnacentral:rRNA from 1 species
GACGAACGCUGGCGGCGUGCUUAACACAUGCAACUCGAACGAGAAUCUACUGAAAUAGUUUUCGGACAAUGGAUGUAUAGGAAAGUGGCGGACGGGUGAGUAACGCGUGAGGAACCUGCCUUGAAGAGGGGGACAACAGUUGGAAACGACUGCUAAUACCGCAUGACGCAUAAAGGUCGCAUGAUCUUUAUGCCAAAUAUUUAUCGCUUCAAGAUGGCCUCGCGUCUGAUUAGCUAGUUGGCGGGGUAACGGCCCACCAAGGCGACGAUCAGUAGCCGGACUGAGAGGUUGAACGGCCACAUUGGGACUGAGAUACGGCCCAGACUCCUACGGGAGGCAGCAGUGGGGAAUAUUGGGCAAUGGGCGCAAGCCUGACCCUGCAACGCCUCGUGAAGGAAGAAGGCUUUCGGGUUGUAAACUUCUUUUAAGAGGGAAGAGCAGAACACGGUACCUCUAGAAUAAGCCACGGCUAACUACAUGCCAGCAGCCGCGGUAAUACGUACGUGGCAAGCGUUGUCCGGAUUUACUGGGUGUAAAGGGCGUGCAGCCGGGUCUGCAAGUCAGAUGUGAAAUCCAUGGGCUCAACCCAUGAACUGCAUUUGAAACUGUAGAUCUUGAGUGUCGGAGGGGCGAUCGGAAUUCCUAGUGUAGCGGUGAAAUGCGUAGAUAUUAGGAGGAACACCAGUGGCGAAGGCGGAUUGGUGGACGAUAACUGAAGGUGAGGCGUGAAAGUGUGGGGAGCAAACAGGAUUAGAUACGCUGGUAGUCCACACUGUAAAAGAUGAAUAUUAGGUGUGCGGGGAAUGACACCAAGUGUGCAGCAGUAAACAAAAUAAGUAUUCCACGUGGGGAGUAGGAUGGCAAGGUUGAAACUCAAAGGAAUAGAGGGGGGCCAGCACAAGCGGUGGAUUAUGUGGUUUAAUUUGAAGAAAAGGGAAGAACCUUAUCAGGGUUUGACAUCUUGCUAAAGAAGUAGAGAUACAUUAGGUGCCCUUCGGGGAAAGCAGAGACAGGUGGUGCAUGGUAGUAGUCAGGUCGUGUUGUGAGAUGUAGGGUUAAGUACCGUAAUGAGAGCAACCCUUAUUAUUAGUUGCUAGGCAAGAGCAUUCUAGGGAGACUGCCGAAGACAAAACGGAGGAAAGGUGGGGACGAAAUAUAAUCAUCAUGCCCCUUAUAUGUGUAGGUUACGACUAGCGCUAAUACGAAAGAGUGUUCCACAGAAGAAAGCUAAGCAGGGAGGCAGAGCGAAACCCCCAUAAAGCCGUCCCGGUUGGGAUUGUAUGGUGAUAAUCGCUUGCGAGAAGUGAGACAUGGUUAGUAAUCGAGUAUCAGCAUGUCCGCGGUUAAUACA